AAAAUUUAAAGUUAAAAUACUAAAAUAGUAAAUAAAAUAUUUGUUGAAACUUAAAUAAUUUGGCGGUAUUUUAGUUCAUUUAGAGGAAUCUGUUUAAUAAUUGAUAUUCCACGAAUAAAUUUACUUAAUUUAUAAUUUUGUAUAUCGUUGUUAAAAAAAUAUUUUUUAAUAAAAUUAAUAUUUAAAAAUUAAAAUAUAAAUUUAAAUCAGAUCAAGAUGCAGAUUAUAAUUAAGAAUAUAAUGGAUUACAAUAAAUUUAUUUAAAUGGAUUUUAAUUUUUAAUAGUUAAUUGAAAGUGGAUUUAAAUGUAAUUUUAUUUAAUUUAAUAAAAUGAUUAAAAAUUAAAAUAUGU
rnacentral:rRNA from 1 species